GACGAACGCUGGCGGCGUGCUUAACACAUGCAAGCCGAACGGUGAAGCGAGUGCUUGCACUCGUGGAUCAGUGGCGAACGGGUGAGUAACACGUGAGUAACCUGCCCAUCACUCUGGGAUAAGCACUGGAAACGGUGUCUAAUACUGGAUACGACCAACCCUUGCAUGGGGUGUUGGUGGAAAGAUUUAUCGGUGAUGGAUGGACUCGCGGCCUAUCAGCUUGUUGGCGGGGUAAUGGCCCACCAAGGCGACGACGGGUAGCCGGCCUGAGAGGGUGACCGGCCACACUGGGACUGAGACACGGCCCAGACUCCUACGGGAGGCAGCAGUGGGGAAUAUUGCACAAUGGGCGAAAGCCUGAUGCAGCGACGCCGCGUGAGGGAUGACGGCCUUCGGGUUGUAAACCUCUUUCAGCAGGGAAGAAGCGAAAGUGACGGUACCUGCAGAAGAAGCACCGGCUAACUACGUG
rnacentral:rRNA from 1 species